rnacentral:rRNA from 1 species
UGCCGGCGACCGGCGCACGGGUGAGUAACACGUAUGCGACCUGCCCCCGCAGGGGGAUAACCGGGAGAAAUCCCGACUAAUACCGCGUAACGCCGCGGACCUGCAUGGGUCUGCGGCCAAAGGAAGCGAUUCCGGCGGGGGAUGGGCAUGCGGCGCAUUAGCUAGUCGGCGGGGUAACGGCCCACCGAGGCGACGAUGCGUAGGGGUUCUGAGAGGAAGGCCCCCCACACUGGAACUGAGACACGGUCCAGACUCCUACGGAAGGCAGCAG